CCUGCUGAAAUGAAUGAGCCUUUGAAAAGGAGGAAACCGUGCCCGAAGGACACAUCUGAAGGACCAAACACUGAAAGAAAUGUCUCUGAAAACAAUGUCUCUAGCAGAGGAAAGCGGACACCAAAAAGACCAUGGACAAAAGCUGAGGUGAACGCUGUAAUGCGACACUUCAGAUCUCACAUCACUAAAGGUCACUUGGCGUCAAUAGGAGAAUGUGAGGUCUGCAAAAGGUGCGAGCAUCCAGUCCUACAAAACCGGACAGUCCAAAAUAUCAGAGACUUUGUUAGGAACCGAGGGCUUACCUUUAAGCGCAUGGAGUUGAAUUAAUGACUA